AUUAUGUAUCUUAUCGUAUUCAUUUAUCAGUUGUGAUAUUAUUUGUUAAUAGUUACUAGAAAAUGUUUAAUACUGUUCGCAACGGAGUUACAAGUUACAAUUUCUUUGAUAUAUUUGUAUAAGGUACGAUUCAUCUUAAGGUAAUUCGGGGGAAGAUGGCACAAAAGGGGGAAGAUGCAACUUUUGCAGGAUACAAGCAGCAACAAGACCAAGAAAUGAAAGCAGAGCACCAACUGAAACAACCCAGUAGCACCAGGCA